GCUCUGAUCGGACCGGUGAGGAGGAGGGAGGAGGGGGGAACCGGAGGAGGGGGGGUGGCGUUACAGUGGCAUUGUUGACAAGUCCUCAGGAGAACCACUGACCCUCGCCAAGGCCAAGAGGGAGGGAGUCCGAAUGCAGAAACUUCCAUUGGAUAGGUAUUUGGCAUGGGGGAUUGGCAAUAAGUGCCUUACACUCAACCAGAUCAUUAAUAUCAUGUUGGACUUUAAGAUGACAGGUGACUGGCCUCAUGCCUUCCGCCAUGUGCCUCGCAGAAAGCUCCAGUUACCUCCUUGGAACCAGCAAAUAAAGGAAGAAGCGUUACUAAAAAAGAUACAACGGAGACAGAGAAGUUCAAGAAACCACUAGUGGUCAUCAAAAGUGGUGAUAGUCAAUCUGGUUCCUUACUGCAUCCCAAAGUGCAUAAAUUGUUUUGAAGGGGAGCAGUCACAUACUAAGAGUGGGAGGGCUCAGCCAUACCAUAAAUCAACCCAUUGGUGAUGUGACUGUGUCGUCUGCUUUGGGGUACUAUCAACAUGAUGGGUGCAUGGUGGGGGUGGACAGCAGCAGGAGGCGACAUUGUUGCCAUUUGGGAAAGGAUCCCAAUAUGGACCUUCUUCAUAUAUUUUAUGGACUAAUCCAGUGUUUUACUUAGAUAUUAUAGUAGCAAAUGAUUUAUGAUUUGUUGGAAUAUAUAUCUGAUAAGUUAUGAAAGAGCAAAUUUAACUCAAAUGUUCUUAUAGUUUAUGAAAGACUUUGUUUAUUAUGGUUAUAAGCCCAUGGAAACAUCAGUUGGCUCAACUGCUGGUUGUCUACACUUCCCUGUUUCAUAGGCCAUUGUGCUGAUUUUUGCAGUUAUCCUUGUUCAUGCUUGCUUUUUCAGCUGGAAUAUCCUCUUGUUUAUCAUCUUAUUGUUCUGUUGUGAGCUCCACCAGUAGUUACUUAUCACCACACCAAUUUGAACAUUUAUCCAAUUGACUCAUAUUAAGAAAGGCAUAAUCAGUUGAAAAAAUCUGGUCACAAAAGUGGUGGUGUGACAGCAGCCUGUGGCUUUACUGGAUAGUUGGGAGAGAGUGGUGUGGUGACACACAUGGGAUUAACAAAGUUCAAAUACAGCACCAGGCAGCCAGCUGCAUUAUUUACAUUGUGUUUAUGAUUAUGCUAAUGUAUUUGUUAUUCAAUCUAUCAUUACAUGUAUUAUUAUACAUUACACUAUUGUAACUUCAGUAUGUAUAAAAUGCUUUAAUUAUGAAGUUU